AAAUGUUAUGUAUUAAAAAACUUUUAACCAAAUUCAAUUUCAAGCUAAAAAUAUGAUUGCCCAUGAUUAUCUAGAAUAUUCUUAAAUUACACCCAAAACUUUAAGAUAUAAGUAAACUAGAUUUGAGAUAACAGUAAGUUGGUGAAGGCUGUGGUGUAAUGUGUGUGUGUUUAUGCUACUUAUCUUGACACAGUGAAGGUACCUGUCUAGGAGAACAUGGAUGCGAGUGUACGCUCAAUGGUCCGAGUGCCACGCACUAACCCCCAAAGCAAAGCAAGUCUAUUUUCAAGAUUAUUUUUAUUGUGGAUUAUUGACAUUAUUCGCCAGGGGAACAAAGAUGAUUUUGAACAGGAUGAUAUUCCAGAAGCUAUGCCCAAUUAUAAAUCUGAAAUUCUCUCCGCUGGUCUCCAAAGGCAGUGGGAGAUUGAAAAAGAAAGAGCUAGAAGGAAUAGAGAAAUUCCAAGUUUUAUAAGAGCAAUCAUAGCAGAAUUUGGUAUCGGAUUUCUUGCAAUGAGUAUUUUACAAAUUCUCAAAGAUAUAAUUUUUGUAGUGUUGAACCCCUAUUUGCUGGGACGUCUGUUAGAAUACUUCACACCAACUAGUACAAUGUCCUACUCUGAAGCAUUGCUGAUAGGACUGAUCCUCUGUAUUACCAAUUGUCUUGUUGGUCUCCUCUAUGUCCACUUUAUGAAUCUUGCUGUACUCUUCGCAGUUCGGGUCCGUGCAUCUUGUAUAGCUGUGGUGUAUCAUAAGUGUUUACGGCUCAGUCAGUCUGCACUCGGAAGCACCUCAUCUGGUCAGAUCAUCAACCUUGUGUCCAAUGAUGUUGCCCGAUUUGAAUUUGUGUCAUUCAUGCUAAUGCCAAUGAUCAGUGCACCUUUUAUGUCAAUUAUUCUGACAUACUUCAUUUAUAAAGUUGGAGGACUAGCCAGCUUAGUCGGUGUUGGAGUACUUCUUAUUAUCUUGAUAAUUCAAUUUAUCAAUGCCAAUAUGACUGCAAAUUAUCGGAUCCAAGUUGCCAGACAGACAGAUGAACGAGUCAGAUUGAUGGAUGAAAUCGUGCUUGGCAUUCAAGUGAUCAAGUUGUAUGCGUGGGAGAAACCUUUUCAGAUCUUCAUUGACUACACAAGGAAGUUGGAGUUGAAUAUUCUUCGUAAAGUAUCUUAUCUAAGGGCAGCCUUCAUGUUCUUCGUAGUAUUCUCUUCCAGACUGACGAUAUUCUGUGUUCUCCUCACAUUUGUUCUGUGUGGUUUACAACUGGAGGCUGUAUCUAUAUUUGUACUGAUGGUAUACUUUUCUCAGUUGGCUGGUUCUAUUACAGCUCUUGUAACAAGAGGAUUUGCAGAGAUAGCUGAAUGUAUGGUUUCUAUUAGAAGAAUCCAGGCAUUCUUGUUACAAGAGGAUUAUGUUCCAUUGAGUAACAGUGACAAAGAAAUGAAGACAAGUGGUGUGGAAGUGGAGGGGGAGCAGGCAGUGCUGCUGACAGGUGUCAGUGCCAAGUGGACAUCUGCAGGUAGUAUGACAUUGACAGAUCUCAAUGUUGAUAUCCGAGCUGGUCAGCUUGUGGCUGUCAUUGGUACAGUUGGUAGCGGCAAGAGUUCUCUGUUGAAUCUGUUUCUUGGAGAGCUGACAAAAACCGAAGGGAAGAUGAAUAUAAACAGAACUAUUUCUUAUGCAGCACAGGAGCCUUGGAUAUUUAGUAGUUCUGUGCGUCAGAAUAUACUCUUCAGGGAGGAUUACAAUUCUACUAGGUACAAAGCUGUUUGUAAAGUUUGUGAACUGGAAAAGGAUUUUGAGUUGAUGCCUCGAGGAGACAAGACUCUGGUAGGAGAGAAAGGAGCUGCACUUUCCGGGGGUCAGAAGGCAAGAAUCAACUUGGCCAGGGCUAUAUACAAAAAAGCAGACAUAUAUCUUUUGGAUGAUCCUCUAUCUGCUGUUGACUCUCAUGUGGGGAAACUCAUUUUCUACAAUUGUAUAGAAGAGUUUCUUGGGGACAAAACCAGAAUUCUAGUUACCCACCAAGUGCAGCACCUUUCUAAAGUGAAUCAUUUAAUUCUAAUGGAGAAUGGCAGAAUUUUGAUGCAAGGAACAUUCAAGGAGCUAAGACGUAGCCAUUACAACUUUGCAUCAGUUUUGGCAACUCCAGAAUAUGAGAAAAGUCAGUUUAAAUUUUUGAGUACAGAACCUAUCCUUCAACGCAACACUCAGCGCAAAUCUACUAGGAGUGAGAAGUCUUUGAGCAUGGCGGGUGAUGAGUUGAUAGAAUUUGAGGAAUUUGAGAAUGAACGGGAAGCAGAGCAGAUGUCAAAAAAGCCGUCUCUGGAAGUGUAUCGAGAGUACCUGGGUGCGGGAGUGAGUUCACUCUACUGUUUUGCAGUGGUUGCACUGUUUGUUGUCACACAGAUCCUCAUCAGCAGCUAUGACUACUGGAUAGCUUACUGGCUACACCAGGAGCAGGAUCGUCUUUACCAGCAUUCAAACACAUCUCUCUGGCCUACCACCACCUAUCUGGCCGUCUUAGCAGUCCUUCUCGCAGGGAUUUUUGUCAUCGCUAAUGUGAGAGGUGUAGCCUACUACACUGCCUGCAUUCGCUGUUCCCGAGGCAUCCACAGUCAGAUGUUCCAAGCUGUUAUUGGCACAUCCCUGAGCUUCUUCCACAACAACUCUUCUGGAAGAAUUUUGAAUCGUUUCUCCCGAGAUCUUGCAGUGACCGAUGAACUGCUUGCCAAGGCUGUAAUGGACAUGGGACAAGCAUUUGGACAAGUAAUUGGUGGUCUGGCCAUUGCUGUAGCCAUAAACUACUGGCUGACACUGCCCAUUAUAGUGCUCAGUGGUAUACUACUGGCUGCUCGUCACUUCUGUCUCAAGGCAUCCACCAAUCUCAAGAGGAUUGAAGCGAUUGCUCGGAGUCCUGUGUAUGCUCACAUCAAUGCCUCACUGCAGGGUCUUGUUACCAUCAGAGCACACUCAGCUGAGAAACUGCUGGAACAAGAGCAGUAUCGCUAUCUGGAUUCACAUACAAGUGUGACCCAUAUCUUCUACUACGUAAUGGCGUUUCUAUCAUUGGCUCAAGAAAUCAUCAUAAAUAUCUACGUGGCAAUUUGUGUUUUCUCCUUUAUUCUUUUCAAAACAGAUUCGUGGGGUACUGAUGCCGGCCUGAUUAUAACCCAAUCUCUUACUAUCAUGAACUUCCUACAGUGGGGGAUGAAGAUGUCAGCUGAGGUUGCUAAUCAGAUGACUUGUAUAGAACGCUCCGUGGAGUACAUGCAUUUGGAGUCAGAAGAAACUGACGGAGAUGAAACAUUAACUCCUGAUCCCAGCUGGCCUCAAUUUGGAAUGAUCGAGAUGAAAAAAGUAUUCAUGAGAUAUGAUAUCAGUGAACCAUAUGUCUUGCGCAAUCUUAACUUUUUGGUUCUACCACAGGAAAAGGUGGGUAUUGUUGGUCGUACUGGUGCCGGAAAGUCAUCUCUGAUCGCCGCUCUGUUCCGCCUGGCACCACUUGAAGGCUCUGUGAUCAUUGAUGCUGUGGACACCAAUACAAUUUCCUUGGAGGCUCUACGCUCCCACAUCUCAAUUAUCCCACAGGAUCCUGUAUUAUUCUCUGGAACACUCCGCACUAACUUAGAUCCCUUCCACAGAUAUUCAGAUCCAGAGCUGUACACCGUCCUGCAUGAGAACUGAUGCACUGAUCCAAAGCACGAUUCGCCACAGAUUUGCUCAUUGUACUGUGCUAACUGUAGCUCACAGACUGAACACUAUCAUCGACUCCAACAGAGUCCUUGUCAUGGAUGCCGGCUCUGUUGUUGAAUUUGACCACCCCC
rnacentral:misc_RNA from 1 species